rnacentral:rRNA from 1 species
GGCGGACGGGUGAGUAAUGCUUGGGAACUUGCCUUUGCGAGGGGGAUAACAGUUGGAAACGACUGCUAAUACCGCAUAAUGUCUACGGACCAAAGGGGGCUUUUAGCUCUCGCGUGAAGAGAGGCCCAAGUGAGAUUAGCUAGUUGGUGAGGUAAAGGCUCACCAAGGCGACGAUCUCUAGCUGUUCUGAGAGGAAGAUCAGCCACACUGGGACUGAGACACGGCCCAGACUCCUACGGGAGGCAGCAGUGGGGAAUAUUGCACAAUGGGGGAAACCCUGAUGCAGCCAUGCCGCGUGUGUGAAGAAGGCCUUCGGGUUGUAAAGCACUUUCAGUUGUGAGGAAAGGUUGGUAGUUAAUACCUGCCAGCUGUGACGUUAACAACAGAAGAAGCACCGGCUAACUCCGUGCCAGCAGCCGCGGUAAUACGGAGGGUGCGAGCGUUAAUCGGAAUUACUGGGCGUAAAGCGCACGCAGGCGGUUUGUUAAGCUAGAUGUGAAAGCCCCGGGCUCAACCUGGGAUGGUCAUUUAGAACUGGCAGACUAGAGUCUUGGAGAGGGGAGUGGAAUUCCAGGUGUAGCGGUGAAAUGCGUAGAGAUCUGGAGGAUACAUCAGUGGCGAAGGCGACUCCCUGGCCAAAGACUGACGCUCAUGUGCGAAAGUGUGGGUAGCGAACAGGAUUAGAUACCCUGGUAGUCCACACCGUAAACGCUGUCUACUAGCUGUGUGUGUAUUUUA